rnacentral:rRNA from 1 species
GGCGUGCCUAACACAUGCAAGUCGAACGAGAAAGUUCCUUCGGGGACGAGUAGAGUGGCGCACGGGUGAGUAACGCGUGGGUAAUCUGCCCUAGGGCGGGGGAUAACUUCUAGAAAUGGAAGCUAAUACCGCAUACGUCCGCUCCUUUGCGGAGGAGUGGAGAAAGGUGGGGAUCUUCGGACCUGCCACCCUUGGAUGAGCCCGCGUACCAUUAGGUAGUUGGUGAGGUAAAAGCUCACCAAGCCGAAGAUGGUUAGCUGGUCUGAGAGGAUGAUCAGCCACACUGGGACUGAGACACGGCCCAGACUCCUACGGGAGGCAGCAGUGGGGAAUAUUGCGCAAUGGAGGCAACUCUGACGCAGCAACGCCGCGUGUGUGAAGAAGGCUUUCGGGUCGUAAAGCACUGUUGAGUAGGAAGAGAAGGGAUAGGUUAAUACCCUAUCCCCCGACGGUACUAUUCGAGGAAGCACCGGCUAACUCCGUGCCAGCAGCCGCGGUAAUACGGAGGGUGCGAGCGUUGUUCGGAAUUAUUGGGCGUAAAGGGCGCGUAGGCGGGUUUUUAAGUCUGGUGUGAAAUCCCUCGGCUCAACCGAGGACGUGCAUUGGAUACUGGAAACCUUGAGUCCUGGAGAGGAAAGCGGAAUUCCCAGUGUAGAGGUGAAAUUCGUAGAUAUUGGGAGGAACACCGGCGGCGAAGGCGGCUUUCUGGACAGUGACUGACGCUGAGGCGCGAAAGCGUGGGUAGCAAACAGGAUUAGAUACCCUGGUAGUCCACGCCGUAAACGAUGGGUACUAGUUGGUGCGGGUAUUGACCCCUGCGCUGACGCAGCUAACGCAUUAAGUACCCCGCCUGGGGAGUACGGCCGCAAAAGGCUA